CUCAAAUAUUCAAUGCUUGCAGCGCCAGGCUUCGUUAGGCUGAAAAUUCUGCUGGAGUAUUGCUACCACAAUGUGCUAUGAAAGUAGUAGGAGGAAAAUUGGAAAGAAGUGUGUACAAAUAAAAGCUAAGGGAGAAAAGUCUGAGCAGCACAAGAUCCAGUCAAUUCCCUGCUUCCAGUCCUACAGAGAGAAGAUUUCAUGCCACUCUCCCACUUCCCAGGUCCCUUUCUCCUGUUUUGUGAGAAGGCACAGUAUCUUGUCACUAACUCUAAAUAGUUUGUGGAUCUGAGGGUGCACAGGUGUGCUGUGGAUAUGCUGAGCCACCUGAUCACGUACCUUGGCAAAAUGGAAAUACGGUUACACCCUGAGAGAGAGCACAGCUGACUGCCAAGGUCCCGAAAACCUUUCCAACACAUUGCACAAGUGUGGAAGUGGUACAAGAAAAGCAUGAUGCAAAGCAGUCUGCAGCUCUCCACACGGAUCACUACACAAUAGCCUCGCAUGGAGGCCGGAGACAAACUCCCAGUGAUUCAAACAGCAACUUCACAGGACUGUACUUACCGAGGGAGAGAAAAGGGAGGAGUAUGCCCUUUGGGAAGAAGGCGGAAAAGCGCCUGGUGUCAUCCUAAGAAAGACUUACAUGGUAGCAUGAGCAACACCAGUGGGAUGUUGAAAUGCUACCCAGCUGGGUGUUUGGCAUGAUGAUACACGAAGGUGGGGUAGAUAAACGGUGCCCACUGAUAACACUGGACUGCCCAGAGUGUGCUCCCGCGUCACCAUUACCAGGCUCAUUACGCACGGUCCAUAUUUGAUCACUGACGACAGACCUCCUCACUGCUUUGCAAGGCAUGAAUGGCUCACUGCUUAGGGACAGGCUGCAUAUUAUUCAGUGCUUCAGUUCUGAAGAACUCAGCACUAUCAGACAUACAGGAUGACUGCUCGUGUGGCUGUCUUUUAAGCAGUCGCUAACCAUCUCUAACACAUUUUCACCCAUUGCAUCUCCUAAAUUUCUUCACAGCAUUACAUGGAGCGUGUAAUAACUAAAAUGAAAUUAAAUUCCAAGCGUAGCUCAACACAAAGACUAUGUGUGAUGCAAGUCUAAUGUGAAGUUGGACAUGGCUUCUUUAUAAUUCUCUUGUUUCAAGGCAGAUGUGUUUUAAGUGUUUGGAAGGAGAGUGCUCUCAGUGACAUCAGUCUUAAGUUGCCAGCCAAGAGUAAAUAAAUGUGUGUUGUCUGAUACAUGUUAAUGUUUUUUUUUUCUUUUAAACUGCAUGUAAGAUGUUUUCAAGGACUCUCUCAACCAGCUGCAAAAACUGGACAUAACCUAGAGGUUAUUUCUAGG